UUUUGAGUUUAGGGUUUGUCUUCACUUCAGAUUCCACCAAUGAUAUAUAGCUUUAUUGUGAUGUAAAAUAUAGAUAGGAGCCCAUGAUUCGUAAUUUUAACUGCAACUAAAAUUUUAAUUCAUAGUGUCUAUAGCUUCCAUAGUUCCAUAUCUAUACUAUUAAAGGGAAAGAUUAUGCCCUCACUUUUCCAAUUAAUUACAAAAAUCUCCAUUACCUUUUUUAAUUG
rnacentral:lncRNA from 1 species